rnacentral:lncRNA from 1 species
UGCAGUCUCCCUCCCCUUCUCCACACCUCUCCCUCUCUCUCUCUCUCUCUCUCUCUCUGUAUAUUUGUGGUCACCUGCAUCCUCUCUUUUCCCUGAACGCUAGGGCCGUUUGGUCUCUUCAUUUGUCUCUCCCUUUGGUUUCUGUUCCCACAGCACUGUUGCUUGCUCCACAUGGGCUAAGCUCUGCUGUGCAGCCCAGCCUCUGACAGCCUCAUACCUCAAGGUAGAUACUCACAGAUCUCUGGCCAUAGCCACUGUGCUGAAGAGGCAAAGGAAGACCCUGGGCUCUUGUCUCAUGCAACAUGGGUUAUCCAGCAGCCACCUGAGCUGUCGUUCUGUGCUAAGUAUGGAUCCCAAAAGAGCUCGGGUGAAGGAGACGAGGAAGGAGCGGUAUUACAUGAUACAAAACCUAGCACCUGCUCCAGGAUGUGGCCGAACCUGGAAGAUGCUAGGGGUGAGCAUACCCCAGACCCCCUACCCCGUCCCAGAGCAACAGAGACGGAAAGGAUACGGAAUGCAUCUGGUUAAGCAUUAGAUCACGUUAACCUCUCAUUCCUGAGAUGCUAAACAUCUGGCCGAAACAAGAGCAGUGUAACGGAACAUCUGGAUACUCACUCUGCACAGCGUGGAACAGCUGCACGCUUGGCAGCAUCUGUGACUGGGUUGCACGUUCCCAAGGAUCCGGGUUCUGUUAUCAGAGGGUAGUGGAUGCUGGCCUAGUGGCCUGUUUCCCUUGAGAAGCCAGCAUCUUCAGAUUUCAGGAUCAAGCUGAAGAGAGACCAGGAAAGGCACAGCUCCUGCCAGGCACAGGGGUGAGACUAAGACGAGGGAGGAACAGAGGGCACGAUUAAAAAACACCUUCACCC